rnacentral:rRNA from 1 species
CCUACGGGUGGCAGCAGUGAGGAAUAUUGGUCAAUGGACGAGAGUCUGAACCAGCCAAGUAGCGUGAAGGAUGACUGCCCUAUGGGUUGUAAACUUCUUUUAUAUGGGAAUAAAAUGUUCCACGUGUGGGAUUUUGUAUGUACCAUAUGAAUAAGGAUCGGCUAACUCCGUGCCAGCAGCCGCGGUAAUACGGAGGAUCCGAGCGUUAUCCGGAUUUAUUGGGGUUAAAGGGGGCGUAGGUGGAUUGUUAAGUUAGUUGUGAAAGUUUGCGGCUCAACCGUAAAGUUGCAGUUGAAACUGGCAGUCUUGAGUACAGUAGAGGUGGGCGGAAUACGUGAUGUAGCGGUGAAAUGCUUAGAUAUCACGAAGAACUCCGAUUGCGAAGGCAGCUCACUGGACUGCAACUGACACUGAGGCUCGAAAGUGUGGGUAGCAAACAGGAUUAGAUACCCUUGUAGUC